UUCCUUGCGUUUCGAUCUCCUUUUCUCGUGUGCGUUUCUUUCUCCGUCCCUCUAUCUCUCUUUGCAUGUUGAUUGCUGCAGUCUGAAGGGGUCUCCAUUACUACCAGCGACUGCGAGGAACUUAAUCUGAGAGUCUGAUAACUUCAUAGUCUAUGGAACAAAUGAAUAGCAAUAAAGAUGCUGAAAAUCUUGCAGAAGCGUCAUCCAAAUCACUAUUGUCUGGAAAAAACAAUGUGGAAGCUGAGAAUGCUGGGGAAAUGCCAGAUAAAGCAGAAUCAUCCCAUAAAAGAACCCCCAAGUCACUGAAGGCAAAAUCUAAUAUAAAAAA
rnacentral:misc_RNA from 1 species